AUCGCGUCGAAUACGAUGCCGAUAUUCAAGACGGCCUCCGCUGAAUAUGUCUGUUCGCAAGGGCCUCAAGAAGCAGGACCGAGAUCGUA
rnacentral:sRNA from 1 species